rnacentral:rRNA from 1 species
AUUGAACGCUGGCGGCAUGCUUUACACAUGCAAGUCGAGCGGCAGCGCGGGGGCAACCCUGGCGGCGAGCGGCGAACGGGUGAGGAAACCAUCGGAACGUGCCCGAGAGUGGGGGAUAACGCCGCGAAAGCGGCGCUAAUACCGCAUAUUCUCUGAGGAGGAAAGUGGGGGACCGCAAGGCCUCACGCUCCCGGAGCGGCCGAUGUCGGAUUAGCUAGUUGGUAGGGUAACGGCCUACCAAGGCGACGAUCCGUAGCUGGUCUGAGAGGACGACCAGCCACACUGGGACUGAGACACGGCCCAGACUCCUACGGGAGGCAGCAGUGGGGAAUAUUGGACAAUGGGGGCAACCCUGAUCCAGCGACGCCGCGUGUGUGAAGAAGGCCUGCGGGUUGUAAAGCACUUUAGUGGGAGGAAAUGCUCAGACCUAACACGUCUGAGAGCUGACUUAACCCAAAGAAAAAGCAACCGGCUAACUCUGUGCCAGCAGCCGCGGU